rnacentral:rRNA from 1 species
GUGGAUUAGAUACCCUGGUAAUCCACGCCGUAAACGAUGAGUGCUAAGUGUUGGAGGGUUUCCGCCCUUCAGUGCUGCAGCUAACGCAUUAAGCACUCCGCCUGGGGAGUACGACCGCAAGGUUGAAACUCAAAGGAAUUGACGGGGGCCCGCACAAGCGGUGGAGCAUGUGGUUUAAUUCGAAGCAACGCGAAGAACCUUACCAGGUCUUGACAUCCUUUGACCACUCUAGAGAUAGAGCUUCCCCUUCGGGGGCAAAGUGACAGGUGGUGCAUGGCUGUCGUCAACU